rnacentral:rRNA from 1 species
GACGAACGCUGGCGGCGUGCCUAAUACAUGCAAGUUGAGCGCUGAAGGUUGGUACUUGUACCGACUGGAUGAGCAGCGAACGGGUGAGUAACGCGUGGGGAAUCUGCCUUUGAGCGGGGGACAACAUUUGGAAACGAAUGCUAAUACCGCAUAAAAACUUUAAACACAAGUUUUAAGUUUGAAAGAUGCAAUUGCAUCACUCAAAGAUGAUCCCGCGUUGUAUUAGCUAGUUGGUGAGGUAAAGGCUCACCAAGGCGAUGAUACAUAGCCGACCUGAGAGGGUGAUCGGCCACAUUGGGACUGAGACACGGCCCAAACUCCUACGGGAGGCAGCAGUAGGGAAUCUUAGGCAAUGGACGAAAGUCUGACCGAGCAACGCCGCGUGAGUGAAGAAGGUUUUCGGAUCGUAAAACUCUGUUGGUAGAGAAGAACGUUGGUGAGAGUGGAAAGCUCAUCAAGUGACGGUAACUACCCAGAAAGGGACGGCUAACUACGUG